UACGGAAGGCAGCAGUGGGGAAUAUUGCACAAUGGGCGAAAGCCUGAUGCAGCUAUGCCGCGUGUAUGAAGAAGGCCUUAGGGUUGUAAAGUACUUUCAUCGGGGAGGAAAAAACAAAACUAAUAAUUUUAUUUCUUGACGUUACCCGAAAAAGAAGCACCGGCUAACUCCGUGCCAGCAGCCGCGGUAAUACGGAGGGUGCUAGCGUUAAUCAGAAUUACUGGGCGUAAAGAGCACGUAGGUGGUUUUUUUAAGUCAGAUGUGAAAUCCCUGGGCUUAACCUAAGAACUGCAUUUUGAAACUGAAAUACUAGAGUAUCGUAGAGGGAGGUAGAAUUCUAGGUGUAGCGGUGAAAUGCGUAGAUAUCUGGAGGAAUACCUGUGGCGAAAGCGGCCUCCUAAACGAAUACUGACACUGAGUGCGAAAGCGUGGGGAGCAAACAGGGAUUAGAUACC
rnacentral:rRNA from 1 species